rnacentral:rRNA from 1 species
UUGGAGGGCAAGUCUGGUGCCAGCAGCCGCGGUAAUUCCAGCUCCAAUAGCGUAUAUUAAAGUUGUUGCAGUUAAAAAGCUCGUAGUUGAAUUUCGGAGUUUGUCGGUUGGUCGGGCUUCACUGUCCGCACUGGCCUGAUGGAUUCCUACCUUCUGAAUAACCAGCAUGCUAUUAAGUUAGUGCGUUGGGGAAGCAGAGCUAUUACCUUGAAAAAAUUAGAGUGCUUAAAGCAGGCUUUUGCUUGAAUAGAUUAGCAUGGAAUAAUAAAAUAGGACGGCAUGGUUCUAUUUUGUUGGUUUCUAGGAUCACCGUAAUGAUUAAUAGGGAUAGUUGGGGGCAUUAGUAUUCAAUUGUCAGAGGUGAAAUUCUUGGAUUUAUUGAAGACUAACUUCUGCGAAAGCAUUUGCCAAGGAUGUUUUCAUUAAUCAAGAACGAAAGUUAGGGGAUCGAAGACGAUCAGAUACCGUCGUAGUCUUAACCAUAAACUAUGCCGACUAGGGAUCGGACGAUGUUAAUUUUUUAAUGACUCGUUCGGCGCCUUACGGGAAAC